UGAAGGUGUAGAGGAACAGCCUAUUUGAUGUGAUUGAAACAAGCUUAAAUUGAAAGCAUCCUAUUUUUCCCUCUUUUUUUUUUUUCAGAACUGGAGUAUUCCAAGUGGCAACGAGUGUGAGGAGGUCCACAGGAGCCUGGGAGGAAACUCUGGAUCUGAGAGCUUGAGAAGAAGCAUCUGGCCAAGAGCCUGGCAAAGCAACCCAGGCCAAAGAGCUUUUUUUCCCCCCCCGGAGCAUCCCACCUGCUAUGGUGGAGCAGGUAAUACCCAUCAGAUGAGCAACAUGAGGACAAGUAUGGGGAGAUGCUGCAUGAGUUGAAGCUGCCACCAGCUCCUCCAGGUAGGGCCUGGACCUACUUUUAUGUCACUCUCACCACUUCUAAGGAGAAGUGAUGUAAUUUAUUGCCCAGAGAUCUCUAUCCUGGUAUCACAGGGAGAGGAGGAACAUGCUCAGCAGCUUUCUGGGUCUCACCUGAAGGAUGGACCAAGGUGGACCACCCACCACCUGGUAUUUAACACCCAGAGCUUGGGGCAGCCUCUGACCUGGUAAAAGCAACUCUUAGCAGAUAAAAAUGGGUGAAGAAGAUGUCUUUGUGUAAAGAAAGAUGUUUUGUUGAGCUCCCUGCUGCAGGACAGUACCAAAACACCUUGCUGGGAAACCCUCGGAGAAGGAUUAAGCAUCUCUAGGCAAGGUCUCAGCACUGUUUGAAAUGAAAUGCGUCGGAAACGCUGCGCCUAAAGAGUUUCAAACAUUGAAGGUACCAAGACUCCCAACAAGGACAGCACAUCUGAGCAACACGGGGUGUUUCAAACAGAUGGAUCCAAUUCACAAUCAUUAUAUGUUUGAAAUAGUGUCCAUCUUUUUGAAACACCCUGUACUACGCAAGCCCCUUCUGCAUGAAUGGACCUGGAGCAAUCCCUCACUCCAUAAACCAUCGCGCAGGAGAUGAGACAGUCGGGAUACAGAAAUCAUCAGAACAAGCCUCCAGUUCUCACAUAUCCAUGUGAUGGUACAAGCGCUUUUCCCCGCAGAGCUACGAAAAACCUCGCUCAGCAUCUUCCCUCCGACUGGCAGCUUGUUGGCUCCCUCUCCAACCCUGGACCACCACGAGGGAGAACCACACAAGCCUUGGAGCCUCUGACCUUGCGUGGUGAUGCCUUUAAUCCCAGGAUUUUACUCAAGACCACCAUGGCUUUUUGAUCAAAAAAUACACUUUCUACCUUCCUCUGUAGGGCUGCCCAGUGGUUUUCAUGCUCUGAACCUCAGGUAGGAGGAGGACACAGCUGUGCUGGGGUUUUCUGAGCAGGGACAAGGUGAGGAAAUUAUUUAAUUGUCAAAGCAAGCACCAGCUCCUCAGCUGGAAGAGUGCCAGCAUGGGCCUUGGUGCAUUAGCAGGGCUGCACAGAUUAGAUUUGGCUUUUCACAUUGGCUCAUUGACUUUUGUCCUUUGGGUGGCAUCACUUGCACAGGAAGGAAGCAGUAGGUGACCUGCGGUGAGGCCGAGAUGGAGGGAGGUAUUCUUUAGGCAGUAAAUCCCACUGCUAGCAGUGUUGUGCUGCUCCAUGUGUCCCCACAGGUGCCAAAGCCACCACGGGAAUGUCUCAGAGGUUCCCCUUCUGAGCUGGCUGCAAGGAAGGAGGGUUAAGCAUCUACCCCAUGCUCAGGUCUUUGUUCUGAAUCUUGUUCUCAAAUUUUUAAGACUUUUUUUGCAUGACAUCUGCUUUUCCUUCUCCCUGCCUCUUUAGGAUAUAAAUGGAUUUUUCUUUCAGGCUGAAGCCCAAUGAUGUUCGCAGCAAGUUUUAGAAACAACCUCUGCCCUCUUCUCUCCUAUUCCUGACAUUAGCAUCCUAAUCUGUCUCCCAUAGCCACAUAAAGGUAGAAAAUACCACUCCAAUUUGUGACUCAGAACAUACAUACAUCUCAAAGCACAUCUGAUACCACAAAUAACUCAGAGUGUUUUCAGGGCAAUGUGGGUGUUUGUCUCAACCCCUUGGUAUGGAUGGCUGCACAGCACUGCAUCUCACCUACUUCUUAAUUAUAUUACGUAUCUUAUGUGAAUUAUUAGUUUGCAUGUAUGGUAUUAAUUUUGUAUACGCAGACAUGAAUCAGCCUCAUUUGGGGAACCCUAGUGACCCAGCCUGUUAACUGGCAGAGGGUGGAGGGAGCCCUGUUGCAGUAAGUUCAACUCCACAUGGGUGCAAGGCUUGGGUUGCAGUUGUAACAAGAAUCCCACCUUUCCGGAAACUCAAGGAUGAUGAUACUGAGUCUUAAAUCCAUAUGACUGGUGGAAAAAAUAACCCAGUGGGAACCUCUCCCCCACUAGAAGAGAUUUCCAAACAAUUAACCCGUCUCCUAUUCAGGCAAAAAUCCUGUGGGCAAAGGUUGGCUUUUGGCCUGAAUAAAACAUGGCAAAAUCCAGUCUGAGAUAAACGAUAGUUGGCGUACAAUGGUAUGUCUACAGUGGCAUACCAGUGCGAAUGUUAGAUUUUUCUUUGGCUCAGUGCCACGUGUCAAAUAAAUUGUCUCUCUACGUUAAACAAAAAAAUGCCUCUAUCAGUCUCAUGAUGCCCAAAUUUCUGUCUGAAAUAUAAAGUCCAUCCUUUUGCACAAAUCCAGCUCUUUGAAAUACAUUUACAGGAUGGAGUACUGUUUUGGUUGGAUUCCUACAGCACAGAGCUAAACGAACAAUGCAGAUUUUGGCUGAGAUUUCCAUGGCUUCACAUGAUAUUUCUUUUGGGCUUGGAGGGGAAGUGUUUCUCAAACAAAAAUGAACAGGGAUUUAGAAGCUAAAUUCUGUGUACCUUCCUUGUAGAAGACUCAUUUGUCCCUAGUAGGUAUCUUGACUUAUAUUCCAGUGUGCCUACAGGACAUAUAUAGAAAAUUUCCACAUCAAGCCAUCCUCUUUGAGCUAAAACAUGUCUUCCUGAAACGUGUCCGAGCCUUGAACUAACCACCUUCAGGUGAUGGAGCAUCCAUCAAGUACCCAACUACCUUUUCCUGCUACUUGAUUAGCUUCGCUCAAAACCACACAUCAUAUUUGCAGGUUGAAGUUGUGCAGUAUCCAAAACUGUUCCUGGCACCUCCUCAGUCUGCUGAAUAAAGGAGUCCCCUUCCAUCACACACCACGUAUCCCUCCCCCAUGCAGAUACUUAAAGGCCAUCAUCAAAUCACUCCUUAACAUCUUUAAGGAUGGAUCUAGGCUGAGCCUCUCUAGACUCUUGUCACAAAGCCUGGUUUCCAGAGCUAACUUAAUUCUAGUUACUGUUCUUCCAAAAAGGGUUUUGCUAACACUGUACAUGAAAAUAAUACCACCUUUCUUCUGCUGCUUGAUAUUCCUUUGCUUAUAUCUGCAAAGAUUACAUUUGCUGCUUUAUUUACAGCGUCACAUAGACUUUGUAUUCAGUGAGCUACAGACAAUUGUUCCUCAGUCCUCGACACAGCCACUGUUUGGCAGAAGACAUUUGCCUGUUGUUUAUAUUUGAUGUGCAUUCCUCCUGGCUGGACAUAUGACUUUGCAUUUGACUUCACUGUUUGAACAAGCCCUUUUGAUCAAACAACCUGAGUCAAGAAGCACAACUGAUUCAUUACCAUCAUUAAUUUCUAUUCUACCUGCUUUGGGGUCACUGGCACUUUUUACUGGCAGGGAUUAUAUAUUUUCUUCCACGUCAUUGAUAAAGAUACUGAAAAAAUAAUCUCAUCAGGAGUCUGCUAAAAACACCCACUGUAUAACAAUAUCUCACUAAUACUUAUUUUCUAAAAUCUAUAUUGUUGGUGGCUUUUAGUCCACAGAA